rnacentral:rRNA from 1 species
AGAGCGAACGCUGGCGGCAGGCCUAAUACAUGCAAGUCGAACGAGCCCUUCGGGGCUAGUGGCGGACGGGUGAGUAACACGUGGGAACGUGCCUUUUGGUUCGGAACAACUCAGGGAAACUUGAGCUAAUACCGAAUGUGCCCUUCGGGGGAAAGAUUUAUCGCCAUUAGAGCGGCCCGCGUCUGAUUAGCUAGUUGGUGAGGUAAAGGCCCACCAAGGCUACGAUCAGUAGCUGGUCUGAGAGGAUGAUCAGCCACACUGGGACUGAGACACGGCCCAGACUCCUACGGGAGGCAGCAGUAGGGAAUCUUGCGCAAUGGGCGAAAGCCUGACGCAGCCAUGCCGCGUGAAUGAUGAAGGUCUUAGGAUUGUAAAAUUCUUUCAGCGGGGACGAUAAUGACGGUACCGCAGAAGAAGCCCGGCUAACUUCGUGCCAGCAGCCGC